GACCUGACUGACAAAGCUAAGUGAACCAAUAGAUCCUCCAAAUACAGACAUCACGCUGGGAUCAAAGGAAGUUCAGGAGCAAUAAGAAACAAAGUAAUUGAGAGCUCUCAGUCUUGAAAAGAUUAUAAAUUAAUUUCUAAAGCUGUGGGACUCCAGCAAACUGCAGUGAGAACUGUUAUCUACAAAUGGCAAAAACAUGGAACCAUGGCGAACCUUCUGGGGAGUGUCCGGUCGACCAAAAUUACCCCAAGAGCGCAAUGAUGGUUCAUCCAAGAUGUCACGAAAACCCCAGAACAAUGUCCAAAGACCUCCAGGCCUCACUCGCCUCAGUUAAGGUCAGUGUUUAUGACUCCACCAUAGGAAAUGGACUGGGCAAAAAUGGCCUGCAUGGCAAGUUUCAAGAUGAAAACCACUGCUGAGCAAAAGGAACAUAAGGCUUGUCUCAGUUUUACCAGAAAACAUCUUGAUGAUCCCCAAGAAUUGUGAGAAAAUACUCUGUGGACUGAGAAAGCAAAAGUUGAAGGACCUGAAAAACUUCGUGUGGUAAAUGGAACCAUGAAGUCCAGCCAUCUGUUUGUGACCUCAAGCUGAAGGACACUUGGGUUCUGCAGCAGGAUGAUGAUCCGAAACACACCAGCAAGUCCACAUCUGAAUGGCUUAAGAGAAACAACAUGAAGACUUUGGAGUGGCCUAGCCAAAGUCCUGACCUGAAUCCCAUUGAGAUGCUGUGGCAUGAACUAAAAAGGCGGUUCAUGCUCAAACACUCUCCAAUGUGGUUGCAAUUCUGCAAAAAUGAGUAGGCACAAAUUCCUCCACAGUGCUGUAAAAGUACUCAUUGCCACUUAUCGCUUUUUCACACAGGGCCAUCGCCCUCUUCGGUUUCACCCGGCUUCCUCCAAUCUCAAAUGACUUGCCAACCAGUUGGGGAAUAAAUAUUUUUCCCUGGUGGAGGCAGGUUGCCAGGUGGGAGCUUGCCAAGUGGUGGCUGAGCAAUUUUUAGGCCUGUGUGAUUGAAGCCCAAGGGGUUAAGAGGAUGGAUGGAUGAAUGGUCGGAUGAAUAGUAUACAAAACUUUCAUGUUUAAGAUUCCGUGGAGUUUACAGUAUGUUUCUGUUUUUAAACAUGCCUUAGACUGAACACAUUAUUCUUUUACUCUCUUGUACCUCAUUCCUCACUAUGACUUCUAUGUUUCCAAGAGGAAGAACAAUCCUCCACUGAACAAAAGGAGGGAAAUUUAGACCCAGAGGCACCCAUGCAAGUAAGACAGAGCAGUUAUUUAAUAGAAGUUAUUUUCUGGUACAUUGGAUUAAUUGGAAUGGCUACAGUACUUCCCCUGUAAACACAUUUGUAAUUGUUCUCACUCUGGGAAUAGAUGUCUGUGUUUUACACAUUGUAGCUCACUGGUGCUGCGCUUAAAUACCGCACCCAGCUGUUCAGCAAAUACUUUUUGUUAGAUCUCAAUCUUGCAAAUGCUGCAUCUGUGACAGCAUUCACCAAAGACAUAUAUAGCGAAAUUUGCAGAAGUUAUGUAUGCUAUGCAGGAGCCUGUAUAAGUGUGUGCCAUCAUAGGAAACGCGAAAAGGAAAUUUGAAAGCAUCUAUUAGAACUCUUUUUAUUAAAGGUAGUUAGCUUUCCUAUCUUUUGCUGUAUUUAUGCUUUUCACAUGUCAUGUUGUAUAACAUGGUUAACCUUUUUAGUAUAUGACUAUAAAUUUCCAUACUGCAUGCUACAUGCAUUGCUGAAAAUACUAUAUACUGUUAUUGUUACUGUUUAUUUGACAAAGAUUUGUGUGAGUUAGAGUUGAUAAGUAAUGGCUGGCAGAUUUACACUUGUGAGCGUUCAGAUAUUGCUUCCAAAUCACAAAAGAUAACAUGGAUUUAUAAAGUAGCAUAAAGUAAUAUUCCUUGUAGAGGAAAGCUGAAGUCAUUGUUCUCUGCCCUUUUAGCUCUGCUUUUGAUCCCUUUUGUAACUCUUCAUGGCCCUUUAACUAUUAAAUGCUCAUCAGCUUAUCAUUAUGUAUGUCUGCUGGUUAAUGCUGAACAGGUAGUGUUUAAUGAUACAGUAGUUUAAUAACCCUACUUGAUUACUGAUAUUAAAAUAGGCAGUGAAGCUUUGGUAAUGCCCAAACAGUAAGCUAAAAGACCAUAAAACUCUGCAGAGCUGAGAAAAACUGCAGUGGGUGAAAUUUUUUUCACUCUUGUAAUUGCAAAAAACCCAUUUAGACCAAAGUGUCACCACGGUGAUGUGUACUGAUCAUGGAGUUCUCAAUAUACUGCAGUGGGGGGCAUAAAAAAUCCAGUACCUUUUAGAUAAACAUACUGUACUCAUCAUUAAAUUACAGAAAAAGCGUAAUGUGGACAACCACUGGACAGAAAAUAUUUAAAUUGAUGAAGGAAAAUCAGUUCUUCUAUGCAAUAUAGGAGGAGUAUUGUGGGAGGAUUUAGGCCGUCUGGAGAAAUAGUGGAAAAGAGCAGAGCUUUAACUGCUUGCACUAGAGCAUAGAUGACUUAGAAAAAGCCCCGAAGAUAAUCAUGCAAUAGAAAAGACUAAGGACAGGGGCAAUAUAAGUUAUAAAAGAUACAAGAGAAGGAAGGUGGCACUAAUUUUGUAGUACCUUGGAGUCAGGAAAAGUAAUUUUUAAGCUUUUGUAAACUUUUGUAAGUAUUAUUAGCUGCCUACAUCUCAGGUUGAAGAGGUUUUUUUCUUUGAAGUCCCUGUAAAAGCAUAUCCAAUUUAAGUUUCUUCUAUCACAGGGCUGACACAGAGACAGACAACCAUUCACACUCACAUUCACACCCAUGGGCAAAUUAGAAUCACCAAUCAAACUAACCUGUAUGUCUUUGGACUGUAGGGGGCUGGAGCACCUGAAGAAAACCCAAAAGAUGUGCUUCUUAGGCUAAUUGGCAAUUCUAAAUUGUCUUCACUGCACCUAUCCAAUAAAGCCAGAAGAAAGGCCAAAAGAAAAUACAAGGAAAGAUGACGUUAAUAUUCUUACCCUAGGAGGAGACUUUAUCAAACAUAUUGAUCCUAUAAAUAUUUUGGUAUCUGGAUGAAUGAUAGACUUUCUUCUGGAGUACAUCGAGCACUGGGUGAAAAUUUAAUUUUAUUAUCAAAACAGAGCCAGUAUUAAUUUAUCAGUUAGGGAAAUAUUUUCAUCAUAGUUGUUUGUUUUUUAUAUAAAAGUCACUGUCUGGCACAUAUCAUGAUGGAAUUUAAAUUCGGCUCUUUGGCCUUCAUUAGCCUAAGAAAACAACAGCACUGGUAUAUUUUCUUUAUGGAAAAAAAACAAAACAAAAAACAUAUUGGGUAAACUUCCUUGUUAUCUGUGUUAAAGUCCUAAAACCUUCAAACAAAUGCUGUGAUUUGUGGCUGUUUUUUGUUUUGUACCCAGACUUUUUUCUGCAUGUGCUCGAACAGCAUUCUCUUAUUUUGCACCUUGGCUGUGGAAUGACCUUUAGAGUAAACUAAAGCUGAAUGCUUUUGCCUGCCUCUAAGAGUUCACAGCUCUACAGUCUUCUGGACUUUUUUUAUUUUGUAUUAGGUUACUUGUUGACUUGUUGUGUUUUGUUUGAUGUGUAUUUACGUUGCAGUUCAUUUAUUUUCUCAGUUGUAAUUUUGUUGACAUGACUUUUUGUCCACAUCUUACUAGAAAAAGUGACUUUUGGCUGCUCCCUUGUCACAAGGGAUCACCACAGUGGAUAGGUCCACAUGUUUGAUUUGGCAGAGUUAUACACCGCAUGCCUUUCCUGAUACAACCACAAAAGGGAUUUGUUCCUACAUCUGUUAAAAAAGAUAUUUUGUUCUCUUUUUAAAUAAAGGUUAAAUCAUAAAUAAAUACAUUUGGAGAAAAGCUUUUUAUUUAAAUAUCCUAAGUGUGAUGAUUUAUGAAAAGGUGGUUUGAUUUGGUGUGGUAGGAGCAACAUUGAUGAUCACCACUAACACUCACCUGUGCUGUUACACUGUAGUUCACAAGUAUAACCCUGGGAUUCAUGGACAAUCUGCUAUUACUGCUGAGGGGGAUUUACCAACUACUGCUUUUACUUGCCUGAUUGACAGCCAGUCCUAUUAUUGGCACUAGUUCCCAACAAUGAGUCCCAGUUGCUUUGU